rnacentral:lncRNA from 1 species
UUUCAGCGAGACGUUCAUUAAAGAGAAUAUUUCUCUUUAAGAGUAUAUUUUUCACUCUUGAAAUUAUAGAAUGAUGCCAGUGCUUGUGGUAUCAUUUCUGAUCACUUUUCUUUCGAAUUCAGCACAUUUGGAAUCUAUUCCCUAUUUGAACCCCAGGUGCGCAUGAAACUUUUCUCCAAUUAAAGGCAACCAUUGUUAAGUUAAUUAUGAACCCUUUUAUAUUUUUCUACUCUAACUGAGAUGAACAACUCUAAUUAUAGAGGACACAAAGACUCCCUGUCUGUGUGAUAGGAGUUGGAUGGGACGUCAUCACUUGUGUGUUGUGCAUUACAAGAAGGCUAGUAGUAUCCUCAUUUAGAUACGCAACAUUAUAUCAGGAGGAAACGGUACUAAAGAAUAAAGAAAUAUUACGUUUUAGUCUUCUCUUCGUUGAUUCCGAGGACGGAAUCCUUUUAAGGGGGGUAGAUUGUGAUAAUCCGGAUUUUUCGAAAUAUUUUAUUUUAUGAUUUUCUAAAAGAUGAGGAAUAAAAUUUUUAUAUUUUAUUCCCAGUCCAGUGAAAUAUCGAGAAUUUUAUUAUUUGAAAUAUUAUGUGGAUAGUAUUUUCAGGUGUAGCUUGAAAAGUUUUUGCAGUUAUGUGAUUUAACUGUGGUUCAUGUUAAAUAUGCUUCUUAUUUGGUUGUUUUAUUUGUGUGAGCAGUCAGUUUAGAAUUUUGAUUUAUUAUAUCCUUUUUAAUAAAUCAAAUUUAUCCUUUGAUUUUAAAAUCAAAGUUUGUUUUAUUUGAG